GUUCCUGUCCAACGUUAAUCGGGGCAGGGUGAGUCGACCCCUAAGGCGAGGCCGAAAGGCGUAGUCGAUGGGAAACAGGUUAAUAUUCCUGUACUUGGUGUUACUGCGAAGGGGGGACGGAGAAGGCUAUGUUGGCCGGGCGACGGUUGUCCCGGUUUAAGCGUGUAGGCUGAUUUUCCAGGCAAAUCCGGAAAAUCAAGGCUGAGGCGUGAUGACGAGGCACUACGGUGCUGAAGCAACAAAUGCCCUGCUUCCAGGAAAAGCCUCUAAGCAUCAGGUAACAUCAAAUCGUACCCCAAACCGACACAGGUGGUCAGGUAGAGAAUACCAAGGCGCUUGAGAGAACUCGGGUGAAGGAACUAGGCAAAAUGGUGCCGUAACUUCGGGAGAAGGCACGCUGAUAUGUAGGUGAAGCGACUUGCUCGUGGAGCUGAAAUCAGUCGAAGAUACCAGCUGGCUGCAACUGUUUAUUAAAAACACAGCACUGUGCAAACACGAAAGUGGACGUAUACGGUGUGACGCCUGCCCGGUGCCGGAAGGUUAAUUGAUGGGGUUAGCGGUAACGCGAAGCUCUUGAUCGAAGCCCCGGUAAACGGCGGCCGUAACUAUAACGGUCCUAAGGUAGCGAAAUUCCUUGUCGGGUAAGUUCCGACCUGCACGAAUGGCGUAAUGAUGGCCAGGCUGUCUCCACCCGAGACUCAGUGAAAUUGAACUCGCUGUGAAGAUGCAGUGUACCCGCGGCAAGACGGAAAGACCCCGUGAACCUUUACUAUAGCUUGACACUGAACAUUGAGCCUUGAUGUGUAGGAUAGGUGGGAGGCUUUGAAGUGUGGACGCCAGUCUGCAUGGAGCCGACCUUGAAAUACCACCCUUUAAUGUUUGAUGUUCUAACGUUGGCCCGUUAUCCGGGUUGCGGACAGUGUCUGGUGGGUAGUUUGACUGGGGCGGUCUCCUCCUAAAGAGUAACGGAGGAGCACGAAGGUUGGCUAAUCCUGGUCGGACAUCAGGAGGUUAGUGCAAUGGCAUAAGCCAGCUUGACUGCGAGCGUGACGGCGCGAGCAGGUGCGAAAGCAGGUCAUAGUGAUCCGGUGGUUCUGAAUGGAAGGGCCAUCGCUCAACGGAUAAAAGGUACUCCGGGGAUAACAGGCUGAUACCGCCCAAGAGUUCAUAUCGACGGCGGUGUUUGGCACCUCGAUGUCGGCUCAUCACAUCCUGGGGCUGAAGUAGGUCCCAAGGGUAUGGCUGUUCGCCAUUUAAAGUGGUACGCGAGCUGGGUUUAGAACGUCGUGAGACAGUUCGGUCCCUAUCUGCCGUGGGCGCUGGAGAACUGAGGGGGGCUGCUCCUAGUACGAGAGGACCGGAGUGGACGCAUCACUGGUGUUCGGGUUGUCAUGCCAAUGGCACUGCCCGGUAGCUAAAUGCGGAAGAGAUAAGUGCUGAAAGCAUCUAAGCACGAAACUUGCCCCGAGAUGAGUUCUCCCUGACUCCUUGAGAGUCCUGAAGGAACGUUGAAGACGACGACGUUGAUAGGCCGGGUGUGUAAGCGCAGCGAUGCGUUGAGCUAACCGGUACUAAUGAACCGUGAGGCUUAACCUU
rnacentral:rRNA from 1 species